rnacentral:rRNA from 1 species
AUUGAACGCUGGCGGCAUGCCUUACACAUGCAAGUCGAACGGUAACAGGGAGCUUGCUCCGCCGACGAGUGGCGAACGGGUGAGUAAUGUAUCGGAACGUACCUUUUAGUGGGGGAUAACGUAGCGAAAGUUACGCUAAUACCGCAUAUUCUCUGAGGAGGAAAGCAGGGGACCUUCGGGCCGUGCGCUAAUAGAGCGGCUGAUAUCAGAUUAGCUAGUUGGUGAGGUAAAGGCUCACCAAGGCGACGAUCUGUAGCGGGUCUGAGAGGAUGAUCCGCCACACUGGAACUGAGACACGGUCCAGACUCCUACGGGAGGCAGCAGUGGGGAAUUUUGGACAAUGGGGGCAACCCUGAUCCAGCCGUGCCGCGUGAGUGAAGAAGGCCUUCGGGUUGUAAAGCUCUUUCGGCCGGGAAAAAAUCGCAUGGGUUAAUACCCUGUGUGGAUGAUGGUACCGGAAUAAGAAGCACUGGCUAACUACGUGCCAGCCGCCGCCGUAA